rnacentral:rRNA from 1 species
CACGUAGUUAGCCUGUGCUUCUUCUCCAGGUACCGUCACAAAACGCUUCGUCCCUGGCGAAAGGAGUUUACAACCCGAAGGCCGUCAUCCCCCACGCGGCGUCGCUGCAUCAGGCUUGCGCCCAUUGUGCAAUAUUCCCCACUGCUGCCUCCCGUAGGAGUCUGGGCCGUAUCUCAGUCCCAAUGUGGCCGACCAACCUCUCAGUCCGGCUACCCGUCGCCGCCUUGGUAGGCCAUUACCCCACCAACAAGCUGAUAGGCCGCGGGCUCAUCCUACACCGAAAAAACUUUCCACCACACACACUAAAGCAUGGUCCUAUCCGGUAUUAGACCCAGUUUCCCAGGCUUAUCCCAGAGUGCAGGGCAGAUCACCCACGUGUUACUCACCCGUUCGCCACUCGAGUACCUCCGAAGAGGCCUUUCCGUUCGACUUGCAUGUGUUAAGCACGCCGCCAGCGUGUCCUGAGCCACGGAGUCAACUAC